ACUCAAAUGAAUUGACGGGGACUUGCACAAGCAGUGGAUUAUGUGGUUUAAUUCGAUGAUAAACGAAGAACCUCACCAGGGUUUGAAACCUAACUGAAUAUUUUUGGAAACAGAAAUAGUCUCACAAGGACAGUUAGGCAGGUGCUGCAUGGUCGUCGUCAGUUCGUGGUUUGAAUUGUUCCCUUCAGUGGGGUAACGAACGCAACCCUCGUCGUGUGUUACAAGUGUCACACGAGACUGCCCCCGCUUUAGUUCAGAAUCUUUGCAAAAAGAUUGUGAGUUGAAGUGGGGGAGGAAGGCGAGGAUGACGCCAGAUCAGCAUGGCCCUCUGAUAUCCUGGGCUACACACAUAAUACAAUCGCCAUUACAACGCGACGCAAUGGGGCGACCCGGAGCAAAUCGUAAGAAAAAUGGCGCCAGUUCGGAUUGAAGUCUGCAACUCGACUUCAUGAAGCCGGAAUUGCUAGUAAUCGCGGGUCAGACAUACCGCGGUGAAUACGUUCUCAAGUCUUGUACACACCGCCCGU
rnacentral:rRNA from 1 species